GACGAACGCUGGCGGCGUGCUUAACACAUGCAAGUCGAACGGAGUGGCGAACGGGUGAGUAACACGUGGGUGACCUGCCCUGCACUUCGGGAUAAGCCUGGGAAACUGGGGCUAAUACAGGAUAGUGGGGGAUGGGCGCGGGGCCUAUCAGCUUGUUGGGGGGGUAAUGGCCUACCAAGGCGGCGACGGGUAGCCGGCCUGAGGGGGUGGACGGCCACAUUGGGCCUAAGACACGGCCCAGACUCCAACGGGGGGCAGCGGUGGGGAAUAUGGCACAAUGGGCGGAAGCCUGGGGCAGCGACGCCGCGUGGGGGAUGACGGCCUUCGGGUUGUAAACUCCUUUCACCAUCGACGCGGUAGCUGGAGAAGAAGCACCGGCUAACUACGUGCCAGCAGCCGCGGUAAUUC
rnacentral:rRNA from 1 species